rnacentral:rRNA from 1 species
AGUUAUAUGGUGAAGCCCUUUUGUCUGGUCUCGCCUGUUUUACAAAAACAUGGUUUUUUGUUUUAUAUUUAAGAUUUGACCUGCCCAAUGAUAGAUUUGCUGGCCGCAGUAUUUUAACUGUGCUUAGGUAGCAUAAUCAUUCUUUUUUUUAUUGAAAUCUGGAAUGAUUGGUUGGAUGAUUUUAGGAACUGUCUCUAAUCUUUUUUCUAGAAUUUUAUUUUUUAGUUAAAAAGCUAAAAUAAUUUUAAAAGACGAGAAGACCCUAUAUAAUUUUAUAUUAAUAAUAAUUUAUAUUUUUAGAAUUUUAUAUAUUAAUUUUUUAUUAAUCUUUAGUUGGGGUGAUUCGACAACUUUCAUUAUCUUUUUUUUUAUUUUACUAUAAAUUAGUAGUAUUAUUGCUCCAAUAAUUUUGAUUAUAAGAUAAAAUUACCUUAGGGAUAACAGUGUUAUUUUAUUAGAGAGUUCAAAUCGAUAAUGAAGUUUGCAGCCCUCGAUGUUGGAUUAAAAUUUAUUUAUGGCGUAGAAGUUAUAUAAUUAAGUCUGUUCGACUUUUAAAAUUUUACAUGAUCUGAGUUCAACCGGAGGUCCAUUUUCGGAAUUCGACCUGCCCA